GCCUGAGACAAUCAAGGUGUCCUUGAAGUGCAAACCUAGAGAGGGUUUGUUAUGUCUAACCAGCAUGAGAGAACAGUAGUUAACAGGCCACACGAAACUUCAGAGCUACACACUAGGCAGUACAGGAUUUUAAAAAUAUAAAAGUUAAACCCUAAGGCAUCAAUAAUGCAUCAUGGG